AGAGUGGAACCUGCGGCUUAAUUUGACUCAACACGGGAAAACUCACCAGGUCCGGAUACGCGUAUGAAAGACAAGCUGAAAGACUUUUCUCAAUGACGUAAGUGGUGGUGCAUGGUCGUUCUUAGUUCGUGGAUUGAUUUGUCUGGUUUAUUCCGAUAACGAGCGAGACCCCAACGUUCUUAAUAGGAGCGCCAGCCCGGCUCGACUGCUUCGGCGGACUUGCUAGCAGGUGUCUCUCUAGCUUCUUAGACGUAUCAGAGCCGAUAAGGUUCUUGAAAUGGGUUAAUAACAGGUCAGUCAUGCCCUUAGAUGUUCUGGGCCGCACGCGCGUUACAAUGGUAGCCAUCAAAAAGUGCCUGCAAAGGGUGUCUCCGUGGCCGAAAGGCUGCGGUAACCCAUAGUCGCUCCCUUGACUGGGCCAGACUAUUGCAAUUAUUGGUCUCAAACGAGGAAUUUUUAGUAUACGCAGGUCAUUAACCUGCGCGGAAUGCGUCCCUGCCCUUUGUACACACCGCCCGUCGCUGCUACCGAUUGGGUUUUGCGGUUACGAGUUCGGAGGACUUGCAUCUCUGCCUUCACGGGUGGGUUGCAGGACUGAAGUUCUAAUUACCGCACGGCCUAGAGGAAGCAGAAGUCGUAACAAGGUAAUCGUAGGUGAACCUGCAGAAGGAUC
rnacentral:rRNA from 1 species